UACAGGCCACCAGAUGUUGCAUCCA
rnacentral:misc_RNA from 1 species